CUUCCCUUUACCUCACUCAGCAAAACAAGGUUUCUCAUUAAGGCACAUCCUCCUUAGAAGGUUAUAGAGCCAGGAGGCCGAAUAUGCACAUACUGCAAGGAACUUCGUAUGGCAUUUAACAAAUAAGACUCCCUGAGGUUAAUAGCCUCCACUCGUGUCUCCAAGGGAAAGAGAUCGUCCUCCGCCAAGGAUAAUAGAACACACAGACACUGUCUCAGUCUCAUCCUUGAUAAACUGCUGCAUGAUCACUGCUGUCUGCCGAAGACCAGCAGCAGGGCAGAACAAAACAGAUGUACGGGAACUCCAUGCAGAGAAGCAGACUUGAUCACCAUCUACUCAGGGAUGCUCAAGGAGACUGGGCAGUCUAAGCUCCAGUGGACUGAAGAAAAGACAAAAAGAGGCAGAGGAAAUCCAAAAAGUAGAAUGUCAGACUAUAUUCCACUCAAAUUGUCUCAGUCAUUUGUUAGGAAGAAAGUACAGAGCCCUGACCCCAAAAUAAAGCAAAUCCUCAUUUUGUCCUCUUCAAAAUGAAA
ensembl:lncRNA novel transcript